rnacentral:rRNA from 1 species
UUUGGACAUGGGGGAAACCUUGAUCCAGCCAUCCCGCGUGUAUGAUGAAGGCCUUCGGGUUGUAAAGUACUUUUGGCAGAGAAGAAAAGGUAUCUCCUAAUACGAGAUACUGCUGACGGUAUCUGCAGAAUAAGCACCGGCUAACUACGUGCCAGCAGCCGCGGUAAUACGUAGGGUGCAAGCGUUAAUCGGAAUUACUGGGCGUAAAGCGUGUGUAGGCGGUUCGGAAAGAAAGAUGUGAAAUCCCAGGGCUCAACCUUGGAACUGCAUUUUUAACUGCCGAGCUAGAGUAUGUCAGAGGGGGGUAGAAUUCCACGUGUAGACGUGAAAUGCGUAGAUAUGUGGAGGAAUACCGAUGGCGAAGGCAGCCCCCUGGAAUAAUACUGACGCUCAGACACGAAAGCGUGGGGAGCAAACAGGAUUAGAUACCCUGGUAGUCCACGCCCUAAACGAUGUCCACUAGCUGUUGGGGCCGUUAGGCCUUAGUAGCGCAGCUAACGCGUGAAGUUGACCGCCUG